rnacentral:lncRNA from 1 species
UUUCUCUGUGUGCUGGCCAUCUGCCUGUUUAUUCUCAGGUCCCAUUUCUGCCUGUCUCUGCCUGGGACACCAAAAUCUGCAUUUCCCAUAUUCUCUUGCAUGGUGGCUUUUGCUUAGGCUUUGUUGACAGGGAGAUCUGGGAAGGCAAAAGGAAGGGAUUUCCUGUUUUCAGGUCCCAUAUUUCUUCACAGUGUCCUUCCAGCAGCAGAGGACAGCUAGACCUCCAGCAUCAUUUGGCAGUUUCCCCCUCUUUGUUGAUCUCAGGCCUCUUCCUUGAUCCCAGGCCCAGAGCUUACCAGCCACUCCCAAUCUCAGCAUCAGCCAAGUGGCACCCCAUCGGACCUCAGCUUCAGUCAUACAGAGUCCACUCAGCAUUCUCAUCACCAGCCACCAGUACUCCUCAGACGUCAUGGCUCAUGGCCCAGCACCCUGGAGGUCACAGCACAAGCCGUGCAGUGCCUGUUCUCUGACUCCAACAUCAGCCUUCAUAGUCCCUUCUCGCUGAUUCCAGCAUGGGCUGGAACGACCACAUGAAUAAGUUCUGAACAAUAGGAUGUGACAAGAAGCACUGUUGUGGAUCACUUCUCAAAAUGAAUUUACUUGUUCUGUGUGUCUUCUUCCCCUCUCUUGAGGAUUGGCAUGGGAGUAUGAUGGGGAAGAGUCAUCUUUGCUCAUAAAGACAAUGGGGGAUGAUGAAGCAAUAGAAAGAAGAAACUGGGUUCCUGGUGACUUUGUUGAGCACAGCCACCCUUCCCAUCCAGACAGCCCAACAGCUCCACUCCUCCUUCCAGCAACCCUUGCAUAAAAAUAUCCACUCACCAACUGUUCACCAACUGUUCUUCCUCUUGCUGGCAUACCUUAUGCAGCAUCCUCAGAUGCCAGAGCGCGUUUCUGCUGCAGCCUCCACGAUGCCUGGGCUGAUAGCAAUCAGGUCCUGCUAUGGAAAACACUGGUCGGUUACUAAUGGAGAAGAAGAAAAAGCAGCAAAGACAACGAGUAUACUUGGGAUGCGAUCGCAUGCCUGGAGCAUCUGGUGGGCAGGAUUCACUCGUCCUUUCCUUUUUGAGAUUGCAAUUAAGUAGAUAAUAUGAGAGAGAACUGACAAUUGGGUUGUCCCUACUGAGCUUGGGGCCAGGUGUGUACUUAGGAACCCAAUCCCACCCAGAAGAGACUCAUCUAUGUUAACACUAAGGAUGCCCUGGAGGAGGUCCUGACCACAUACAUGCGGCCAUUGGUUGAUUUCAGCUUUGCAAGCAGCGUAGUGAGAAAACCAAAAGCUUGUCCUAUCCAGACUGAGCUUGCCAGGGAAGCAGAGGCCUGAGGUUACUUAACGAGAGGCAGGCUGCCAGAGUGGAGACACAGGGCAUGUACAAUCAUACAAACCUGCAUACCAAUUCUGCCCCCCCACUCACUCUGUGGCUGUGUCACCCUGGCAAGUGACUUAACCUCUCUGAUCUUCUUUUCCUCACCUAUAAAAUGGGGAAAAUGAAAUGUAUCUCAGAUUGGGGAUUCGAAGGUUUCAAAUGACCAUUUAGGUAAACUUCCUGGAACAUAGUAUGUGUUCAGGAACCUUGAGUUCCCUCCCCUUGGGAGAAGACCCCUCACACUGAGCUGGGGAGCAGGAUCCUGGUCACUGAGACUUCUUUUCUGCACAAACUUCAUCUUGGCCUCUAAUGAGAUGGAAUCCCCCAGGGCCUGUUGCCUCCUGUUAUUGCAAUUUAAGCACAGCCAGUGCUGACUGGGCUGUUAGACUCCAAAGGUUCCCUGGUAGAAAAUUUGAGGGGUGUGGGAUGGCAAGGGAUUGAGAGAGAGGGGUGGGGACUUCAGAUAGCCAGUAUUCCUUAGCCUUCCAAUUCCUUAACAGCCAAAUUACCCUAGAGCCUCUUUAUGAAGCUAAAGAAAUACAAAUACUAUUUUCAAAUCAGCAGGCAUUCCCAAUGUUGGCUUUUGCUGAGGGUAGCUAAGAGGCAAAGCAUACCUAGAUCCUAGGCCAGACCUCAACAGCCUUAGUUCUGGCUCCUUCUGUUUCCAUAUUUCUCAAGAACCUGGUUUUCUCUGCUGGAAGAAGCAUUUUCAGAGGUCAUCUGAAGUCUACAGCCCUCCCCUCUGCGAGGAGAGCACAGACUUGAAGUCAAGUGGGCCUGGGCUCCAAAUCUUAGUUCUGCCACUUACUAGCUAUGUGGCCUUGGACAAGUUACUUAACUCCCCCAUGCCUCAGUUUCUCUGGAUACCAAAUGGGGAUAAUGAUGCUAAUACCUCAUAGAGUAGGCAUGAGGGUUAUAUGAGUAAAGUGCUGAGAAAGGAGCCUGAUAGGUAAUUACCUGAUCCCCCUCCUCUCGCUAGAGCCCCCACACCCUGGUGAUACUCACCACUAUGCCUUCACUUUAUAAUCAACAGAAACACUUCAACACCCAUCCCAGAAAACACAUGAAAUACUCACAUUACACAAAGAUCAAAUGAGUGGGGAUGAUUAAACCUAUUUUCCUUUUGAUUCAAACAAGUGGAGUGCUCUGUCCUUGGCCACACAGUUUAAAGAAUGAAGCCAGGACUACAUGCCAAACAGCAUGACUCCUAGGGUAAAGUUCUUCCCACCCCAUGAAGAUGCCCUCACCCCUCAAUUUCUCCUGACUGUUUCUUUAAAUAGAAAGGUUUUGAUGGAAACACUAGUGACGUAUAUGAAUUUUGAAGCAGAUAUCCAUUUUUAAUAUAGGAAGGAAGACAUUAAGAUGUCAAACUUGGGGCUGCUAAAUGAACAUCUGUAGCCCAAACAUGGGGCACCAGGGCUGGGAGGCUCAGAGAAGUAAUUGCCACAAAAAAGAUGCACCAGGACAUUGAUUUCUUCUGCCUGUUUGCUUGAUUUCCACUUUGAGCUUACUCAAUUGGCUAUUCCUCUGUUUUGCCACCUCAAGAACAUGACCCCAGCUCAUUUGAAUGAAAAUAUGUUUGCCAUUACCUCAUUAAUUUCUGAGACUUUGCAUUAUUUUUUACACCCACCUCCUUUCUUUUCUUCUCCCUCAAAAUUCAGAGUAUUGGUUGGAAAGAGGUAAAUCAGGCACCAUUUCUCCAUGAUGUGUCAGGACCUGAAUCUGUCAUUUGCGAGCCUGACCUCAUAACUCAGCCAAGCCAAGCUGCAAGGCACCCUGGGAACCCAUCACUGAAAGACUGCAGAGGGAGGAAGGCAAGGGCAGGAAUAGCCAGCUGGUCAAGCAGCAGAGUGUCUCCUCAGCUCCCAGGAAAUGGUGUCUAAGGGUGAUGAUGAACUGGGACUUCAUCUGAGUCCAAAAUAAUGAUGCUGCUGAUGCAACAGCAGAACUUAUUAAACACUUACUACUGCAUAUGCCACUAUGAGGUAGACUUACAGAGAAUAAGUUACUCUCCCAUAAUCACACAGCCAGUAAAUGACAGAAAUGGGAUCCAAUCCAAAUAUGUUUCAUUCUAAAGCCCAUGCUCUUCACCAACAAAGCCCAACUUGAUUUAAUUUAUCCCCAAACAUACCAACAUCCAUUUGUUAGUUCCCUUCCCAAUUUAACUUUAAGCGUCUCACAUACAUACACUGUUUUUAUCCUAACAACAAGUUGGUGAGGAACUGAGCUCAGAGAGGUUAAUCCACCCACUGAAAGGCACCCAGUGUUUAAGAGCAGAGGGAGGGGCCUGACACAGGUCUUUCGGAGCAUGACAUGCAUGUUCUGUCCACAAGGCCUGUUGCUGCCUUUCCCCCAGAGGUCCAGACUGAGGACGGGACAGAGUAGAUAAAGACAGCAGUGUGAGAGGAGGCAGUGGGCAAUAUGGGGAAUCUAGGGGCAGCAGUAUGCUGGUCCCAUAUAAUCAGGCCCGGGGGAGGGGCCCAGACAGAGGGUGGCAGACUCUCUGUACUCCAGCAAGACAAUCCCAGAAGAAAUGCCAGAGAGAUCAAUGAGAAGGCCAGUCAUUUACACUGGGCACACACACAGUGUUUAGGGUACUCAGAUAGGUACCCAGGCCUCACCCCAGGCUGUUUGGACACCAGGAGUCAUAGCACUCUUCCAGGCCACAACUGCUACUUGGGGUGGGAGGAGAGGAUGAGACGUGGCAUUUGUGGAAUAAUGACUGUGGCCAAGCAGUGGGCUCUGUAUGAUGCCAUCGUCAAUUCUCACAGCAAUUCUACAACAUAGGUUUUGUUACUUCUCUCUCACGCUUUACCCUAAAUUUCUCCUGCCUACCACAGUGCUUGGCACACACAAACAGAAUAAUAAUGUGUGGAACUGACUAAUUCAUUUUCCAUUCUGCUGGUCAGGGAGAAAUUAAUAGAGGCAGAGGCUAUUAAUAAAACAUUACAUUACCUCCAA